rnacentral:rRNA from 1 species
UUACGGCGGCCAGAGCGGUGAGGUACCUCCCGUACCCAUCCCGAACACGGAAGAUAAGCUCACCUGCGUAUCGCGGAGUACUGGAGUGCGCGAGCCUCUGGGAAAUGNGAUUCGCCGCCUUCACU